ACCAUAACUUGAAAAAAACAACUUCUGAUCUUUUAUAAUAAAUAACUUUUCUUUCAGAAUCUUAUAAAAGCAAGCAUUCAUUCUCUUUUUUCCUUUCCUUGUUGUUAUUGUUGUUGCCUAUUGUUCAUUUGAAUUGAUAUCCUCAAGAAUCUUGAUGCAUCUUCAAUGAGUUCAAGUCCUCAGUCAAUUUUGAAAUAGUCAUGGUCUGAGCCAAACCUGGUUAAAAUCAGAUUUUUCAAGCACAUUUUGUCCAAACUUCAAUAAAAUCAUUGAGUGAACUUCUUAUCAAUGGAGUAUAACAACUUAAACAUUUGCAGAAUUAAUUUAUAACUAAGAUUUGUCAUAAUGCCUGGAGUUUUUUUGUUGUCUAAACAAUGGGAUUGACUUUUGGAAUGGCAUUUGAGCCUUGAAUAUCAACAAAGAAAAAUAUAAAAUUUCUGUCAAAUGCCCUUCAUUAUUUUAUCAACAAUUUUCAUCCAUGCUCACAUUUAUGCUGGGAUCUUUCCUUCUUGUUUUAUGUUGCUUUCCUACAGAGGUUACAAAACAGGUUGCAUAUUGCAACAUUCAUUACAGGACACCUAUAUCUGUAGUGGGAUCAGCUUUGAAGAAAAGAAUGGGGUUCAACCAGCCAGGUCCAUAUCUUUCUUGAAAAAAAUCUGAAGGCUUGGAAUUAAUCCCAAACCAUCCAAGAUAAAGUGCAACACAACUUCCACACAAUUGACUCAUUCUUAACAAUCAAUGGAAAUAAUUUGACUUUCCACAGGAUCCAAAAUUUGAUUCCAUGUUCUAGAUUGAUGACUGAAUUAGGAAAGUGAUGUUUCUGAUAUAUAUAUAUAUAUACAUGUGUGUGUGUGUGUGUGUGUGUGUGUGUGUGUGUGUGUGUGUGUGUGUGAAAUCCAAAUUAUUCAAAACUUAGAUAC
rnacentral:lncRNA from 1 species